rnacentral:rRNA from 1 species
GACAGAGGAGCCAAGCGUUGUCCGGAUUGACUGGGCGUAAAGCGCACGCAGGCGGUCGUGCACGUGGGGUGUGAAAACUGGCGGCUCAACUGCCAGAGGCCACCUCAUACGGCGCGACUCGAGCCCGUGAGAGGUCCAUGGAAUUGCCGGUGUAGUGGUGAAAUGCGUAGAGAUCGGCAGGAACACCCAGGGAGAAAUCAGUGGACUGGCACGGUGCUGACGCUCAGGUGCGAAAGCGUGGGGAGCGAACCGG